AUGUCCACAGUUUUGACUACAUACAAGUCUAGUUCAGUUCAACUCAUAGCCCCUAAUCCCACUGGUGAUGAUAUUGUCAUUGGGGAUCAGAAAGUUGCUCUGCCUUACAAGGAGUGGUUAGCUGAUCUAGGAGUUAGUGUCUCGAUGCCGAAGUCACUGGUCAAUGAGUAGGCAAAAUCAUCCGGGGAAGGAAGCGAGAUGGAGUGAAGCACGGUCUCGUUGCUUCUUCUUUUUUUCUCCAUCUUGGAUUUCUCUCACAAAAGCUAAAAUCAAACUGGUAUGCCAACUUCAAUCAUUUGAAAUCAUAUUUCUAAUUUGCUAUUUUUUUAGUUUAGAAAAAUGGGUUUCUAGGUAUAUGAUGGGUUUGUGUUCUGUUUGCUAUUAAUUUGGAUUUUGGGGUUUGAAGCGAAUAGGGUGAUUGUUUAUUUCUAGGUUUGGGACUGAGUUCAAAAUGGGUUCAGAUUUAGGUAAAUCUUGAAAUGAAUUUGGAUUUGUGUUUGUUCUAUAAUUUAUUGUUCCCCUAUUUUUGAUUCUUGGUGGAUACUGUAUAUGGUGGGUUUGUGUUCUGUUUGCUAUUGAUUUGGAUUUUGGGGUUUCAAGGGAAUAGAGUUGAUUGUUUAUUUCCAGGUUUAGGACUGAGUUCAAGAUGGGUUCAGAUUUAGGUUAAUCUUGAAAUGAAUUUGGAUUUAUGUUUGUGUUUGUUCUAUAAUUUAUUGUUCCCUUGUUUUUUAUUCUUGGUGGAUACCCUUGUUUCCCCUGUUUUUGAUUCUUGGUGGAUACCUGACAUUAGUGUGAACAAUGGUCCAAAGUUUCAAUUUACAAGAUACUGACAGUAGGGAAUAAACUUUGAGGAAAUAAUGGUCCAAAGUUUCAAUUAGAGAAAGCUUAACCAUUAAGUACUUGCUGCAAUGAUUGUGUGAUUUUUUGGUGGCAGCAACUUGGGAAAUUUGUUCCAUGGGUCAUAAUGCAAAUUAUGCACAUAAUAUGCUUCUAAAUGACUCGGAUUUUGAUGAUGAUUUUGAGAUAAUUGUGCUUCUUGCAUUAGAAGAAGAACGAUUAGAAAGAGAGGGGGCGUUAACAUCACAUCGUGGUUAUGUUCUAGGCCGUAGGAUCAUCCAACGUGAUCAUGGGCAAGGCCACCAAAGACUUUUUCAAGACUAUUUUGCAGAAUCACCAAUAUAUCCUCCUAACGUACUUUGAAGGAGGUUUUGAAUGAGUCAUUCUCUUUUUCUAUGUAUUAAAUCUACUCUAGAAGAGAAAGAUGAAUUUUUUGUUCAAAAAAGAAAUGUUGCCGGAGUGCUUGGUUUGUCUUCCCUUCAAAAGAUGACUGCCACACUAAGGAUACUUGCCUAUGGAGCAGCGGCGGAUUUUACAGAUGAAUAUGUGAGAAUUGGAGAAAGCACUACAAUAGAGAGUCUCAAAAAAUUUGUUGAAGCCAUAGUCGAUAUUUAUUCUAUAUAAUACUUGAGCUCACCAAAUAGCAAUGACAUUGCUAGGUUGCUAAGAGUUGGUGAAAGUCGUGGAUUUCCAGGGAUGCCAGGGAGCAUUGAUUGCAUGCACUGGAAAUUGAAGAAUUGCCCAUCAGGGUGGAAAGGUCAAUAUACUGGUCAUAGUCGUGAGCCAACAAUUAUUUUGGAAGUUGUAGCAUCAUAUGAUCUUUGGAUAUGGCAUGCAUUUUUUGGGUUAUAUUGGGUCUCAUAAUGACAUCAACAUGCUAGACCAUUCUUUUAUAUUUACCAAGCUCGCUCAAGGCCUUUCACCUUCUGUGAAUUACUCAAUCAAUGGUCAUGAUUAUACGAUGGGAUACUAUCUUGCUGAUUGUAUAUAUCCUUCAUGGUCCACUUUUGUAAAGACAAUCCGAGCUCCACAAGGUAAAAAGAAUAGUCUUUUUGCUACAACUCAAGAGUCAAUAAGGAAGGAUGUAGAGCGUGCAUUUGGAGUACUUCAAGCAUGAUUUGCAAUUGUUCAUAGAACUGCACGUCUUUGGAGAACAGAGGCUCUUGAUUACAUUAUAAAGGCAUGCAUAAUAUUGCAUAACAUGAUAAUUGAAGAUGAACGUGAUGCCAAUGGAGCAGAAGACUUUGAUUAUGAACAAGUGCCUGAAAGCAUCCCUACAACAGUGUCCGACGAGCCUACAAAAGAAUUUAGUCAAUUUGCAGCGUUCAUUGCAGCCCAUAAAAAAAAUUAAAAAUAGAGAAACUCAUUCUAAACUCCAAUUGGAUCUCGUUGACCCCUUGUGGCAACGAUAUGGCGAGAUGUAAGAUCAUCUAAUUUUAAGUUUUAUGCUCGCAUUAAUUUUUAUGUCUUUAGUCUUUAUUGUAAUUUGAAAUUUCUCUUCAUUUAUGUUAGUCUUGUAUAGGUAAAAUUCAAUGUAAUUUGAAAUUUAUCAAAUCUAUGUUAAUCUUAAAAUUUAUCAAGUCUUUUUGAAAAAUAUGACUAUUGAGAAAUAUUACCAUUUGAAAAAAUGACCCUUUAAAAAAAGGGUUUUGAAAAAAUAUAAUUGUUGAAAAAUUUGAAAAUGUUACUAUUGGGAAAUUUAAAAAUAUAGCUGUUAGGAAUUUGAAAUAUAGUUGUUGUGAAUGAAUAAAGAAAGAUUAAAGAAGAUUAAAGAAAGAAUAAAGAAUGAAUGAAGAAAUAAUAUUUAAAUGAUAUAGAGAAUGAGAUAGAUAAUCUGUUACAAGUGUAUUUGAAAAAGUGAGUAGCUAAAAAGUAAAAGUCACUGUUCAUUCUCCAAAUAAUACAAAAAUUUAGAAAAUCUGAUGGAGAUGCUCUUAUCCGUUGGAAUGGUGAAAAGUUGCUUCACUUCUUGCCGGUUAGGAACUUUAGCUUCAUUCUACAUUCGCUUUCUUAAAUUUGUGAGCAGUAUGGUCCCUAUUUCCAUCCAUUGCUAAAUCCAUCAUUGUGUGUUGUUAUGUCAAACUUUAGUAAUAAUAAUAAUGAUUUUUUAAAAAAUUAUAUAUUGUUCAACGCCCACUAUUUUCCUAUGCUGCAAUAUUGUUGAACAAUACAUGCCAAGGCAGCACCAUUUCAUAAAGCAUAAGGAAUAAGUCGGGCCAAGUUCAUAUUAAAGCCCAAUUUUCCAUCUAACAACAAUAGUUUGGCUUAAGCCCAAAAUACUCCAUACAUUUUGGAUUGGGCUAAUGGUCCGAUACUUUACAAAAUGGGCUCGUAAGCUAUAUAUUUUUACAUCAGUAAUAGUCUCAACUCUCAUGGGCUUUAUAAUUUUUCACCUCAUGAAUUCGGCCAUGGCUCAUAUAAUUAUCAAAAUCAUGUGAUGGGCUCAUGGGCCAUAUCUCUCUUGGGUUUGGCUCAAAAGCCCCUUUUUUUUUAUGGGAGUUGAUCUUGCACAAUAGUAAAACUCCAAACUCUCCCUAAAACCUUAGUCUCAAGAGAGGCCCUCCUUAAUUUAUUUUUAUAUAUAUAUAUAUAUAUAUACUAUAUAUAAAAAAGAUUCUUCUUUCCAUCCAAAAAAAAAAAAAAAUCUUCUUUUUCAAUUAGUUCCAAAAAUUUUACUCUCUCUCUCUCUCUCUCUCUCUCUAUUAAAAAUAAAAUUAAAAUUAAAAUUAAAAUUAAUAGUUUUUUAGAAAAAUUCAUUAUUGAAAAUUCAUUGUUCAAUAAUAGAAGUCCAACAUUUCCAAGCAAGACAAUAACCAUUUAAAAUAUAAUAUUUAUUUUGAUACUAAUUGUUUUUAUAUUUUUAGAAUCAAAAGUUUUUAAAUAUGUUUUAUAAAUAUAUAAAAUAGUUCAAUUGAUGUAUUAAAUUAUUAUAAAAGGUUGGAUUCUUUUUUCUAAUUCAUAUAUCGCUUAUAAAAUAUUAAGUAACAGUACAUGUUGCUUAUAAAAUAUUAAGUAACAAUACAUCUUACAUUCGUGUUUGGUCCCAAAAUGUGUUGAAUCAACCCUAGACUAGACUCUAUUUUUGCAAACCGUGAAUUUUGAAUAAAAUCAAUAACCUUAUGAUCUAACUAUUACUACAUAUUUAGCAAGAUACCAAACAAAGAGUACAGGAAGAUUGAGUAAACACAGAGAAAAGAGAGAGAAUAAUUAUUAUCUGAGUAAAAAAUCCUAUUGAUCUUACUUAAACUAAGUAAUACAGAAAAACAUGUAUUUAUAUAUAAUUACCCGCCUAACUGAACCCAAGAAAUAUGGAAACUAACUCCAAAAAAUACGGAAAGCUCUAACGAAAGUAAAAUGAAAUUUCUCACACGUAUAUGAAAAGCUUUCAUAAAAAGUGGUCAUAUUUUGUAUGAAAGACUUUUAACAUGCUAAUAAUAUGGUUCGUAUUGCAUAAAUUUUUCAUGAUUAUAGUGAUGUGUUGGUUAAUAGAAGUUUAUUUGUAAUAUGUUUAGGUUGCGUGAGGAGAGAGAAGAAUUUUGACAAUGAUGUGACAAAAGGAGGAGAAAGGAGAGAGAAAUGAUGUGACCAAAAGGAGGAGAGAGAAAAAGAAAUUUCGACAAUGGUAUUGGCAUAAUUACUGCUGCUGAAUUUUUUAUUGUCACAUUUACCAAUUGCCUAACUUCCCAUGAUUGAAAAAGAGGGGAGAAGCAUUUGUAUUGUGGCAAUACCAUUACUGACAUAGGAGAGAGGAAAAAAAAUUAUAUUGUGGCAAUACCAAUGCCAAUAUAGGAGAGAAGAGAGAGGAAAAAAAAAUUUAUAUUAUGGAAAAACCAUUGCCCAAAUAAGAGAGAGCAAAGAGAAAAAAAAGUUGUAUUAUGACUCUUAAUUGUGCUAUUAAUUUGUUUUUUAUGUUGUUAUUAUUAAUUUAUAGGAAACUUAAUAAUAACAUGUAGUAAAUCCUACAUUUGUGAUUUUUUUUUUCAAUUUCAUUAAAGUUCGUUGAUAUCAAAAGACAAAUAAGUUUCUUUACUUUUUUAUGGUGGUUAUUGGUAAUAAUUUAUUGUAUAUAUGCUUUGUAAAUAUUAUAAGAAGCAUUGUAAAUAAUAUGUGUAGGAGCAUUUUUAAUAUUAAAUAAAUAAAAUGAAUAAAUGUAAUAACAUAAAUGUAAAGAUGUGGGAGUAAAUAUGGGAGAUGAGGAGUUAGUGUAAAUGUUUAAUCCCACAUUGAAAAGGAGAGAGACUUUUUUAUUCUUUUUAAUUGUGGUGAUUAAUGGGCUAAAAUGUAUUGACUCAGAUAUUGGGCUAGAUACGUGCGCAAGGGGGAGGUGAAGAGUGGAGGUAUCAAAUUUGGACCUAAUUAAUCAAAAUAAAUUGGGUAGUAAUUUCGUGAGGCCCAUUGAGCCUAUAAAUAGACUCAUUCAGACUCAAUCCAAGUUACUGAAAUUACAAUACACACAAAAGAAAAAAUUAGAGAGAUUCUUGGCAAGAAAGGGUGUUCUUUCUGGUGGAGCUUUGGGCUUGAACACUUUGUGCAGAAGUUGUUCUAGUCAUACGACACUUGAUUAGAGAGAUUCUUGGCAAGGAAGGGUGUUCUUUCUGGUGGAGCUUUGGGCUUGAACACUUUGUGCAGAAGUUGUUCUAGUCAUACGACACUUGUUGGGCUGUUGUAUCCUGGGGGAGACAAGUCAUAGAAGGUCUGCACCGGUUACAAAGUUUAGCCAACCAAGGGCUUGAAUCUCCUUAAAGAGAGCGAGUGCCGCGCCUCAGUCCAAAUAGUGUUGUGUAAUUUCUCUUUACGUUAAUAAUAUUCAGAAGUAUUUUCAGUUUCUCUUUGUGUUAUUUCUAUUACCAUUGUAUUUGCACCAACAAUAUGUAUUAUUAUAUUAUAGUUAAUAUUGUGUGUAUGACUACAAUUUUCUUCUUCUUCUCUUUACUCCCUCCUAUUUCGGCAAUGAUAUUGCGACAAUUCAAAUAUUUCUCCUUGCUCCUUUUCAGUCAUGGGCAGUCAGGCAGUCAUAGGCAAUUGAAAAUUGGGCAGCAUCAAUUGUUGUAAUAUCAUUGCCGAAAUUAUUUUUUUCUCUCUUCUCCUUUGGUCACAUCAUUUCUCUCUCAUUUCUCUUAUUUUUUCUCACAAUUUCGGCUAUAGCAUUGUCGAAAUUUGUCUCUCUCCUCACACAGCUAAAAAAUUUUGAACAAUACACAUAUCAUAAAUAAACUCCUAUUUAACUAAUAUUUAGCCAAAAGACUUAGCUGCAAUACCUUAUCAAUUAUUCACACUUUCUUGUAUUAAUUUACAACUCUUGGUAUAGCGUGAUUGGUAAAUGUGUUGUUUUUCUUUUUGCAAAAUUUCUUGAUGAGCAAUAUAUAGUGGAUGAUUCAAAAUUUCUUAAAAGUUUAGUGAAUGGCCUUUAAGCAUGUGAAAGAUGAAUUUGGGAAAACUUUUCAUCUGAAAUGAGCUUUGAGGUAAUUAUUAGUCUUUACUUUUGCUGGUGGUUAUAUAAUUGAUUAUAAAAGACAUUUCUUUUUUGGAACCCUAUGUAAUUUUGCUAGUUGAUGGCUUGAUGCAAUAGUUCUGCUUCAAAGUUUAGGCCGCCCUUUUACGAAAGUGUUAUAUUAUUUUAUUUUAUUUAGUUCUUGUCAUAAGUAUGCAUUAAUUAUACUUAUUAUUAAAAUUUCAGUUUGACGGCCCCUACGAUUAUUCACAUUCAUGGACGCGAUUAAUGGAAUUUGUGGUCCUUGAUUUGGAUAUUAGCGAGCGACUUAUAGAUGCUCUUGAGCAAUUUCUUGUUGGCAAAAUGGCUGAUGUUGUUUGUAUACUUUAUAAUUUUGUUGUGAAAAAAUCCACAUUUUUACUAAGCUGCCUCAAAUUUUGGCCUUCAAAUGGCAGCUAUUGGCUGAAAAUGAUGGAUAGUUGGAAACAGAGUCCUUCAUUUAUGAAACUAAUAUCAUUCUUAGAGAUCCGAACAGAAAUGUAUGCUAUAGUUUAGUUUGUUUGAUUGUUUUGUGAGUCAGUGAUUAGUAAGAUAUGAUAUCUAGUGUUAAAAACUUAUUUGACCGAGACAUUUUUAUACAUUGUAUGGAGUGUUAAUGCGAAGAGAUGGAAAUUACAUCUCCUACAUCAGGCAUAAUGAUGGAUGGCUGUGUGUUCAUAAACACUGCGUAAGUCAUUUCUAACUUGUGAGUUGUGAUAGGUUAUCUUCUAUAAACAAUUCUAUCUGAAAGAAAAUUUACCACCUUUUUAUAACUUUGAACUUAGCUACUUGGUUGAGGAAAUUAAGCAUAAAGAGGAUCCAUACAUGCUCUUACAGACUCUUCUUUGUUUAUCUUUAGACAAGGGCCAAUAUUGAUCUACCUUUUGGUUUAUGUUGAUGAUAUUGUCCUUAUUGCUUUUGAGCUCAUCGGCCUUGGGGAUCUCCAUUACUUCCUUGGUCUUCAUAUCACUCGUACCUCAAAAGGCCUAUUCCUCAGUCAAUCUAAAUAUGCUCAUGAUUUACUUACCAACCACAAUAUGCUUCAGUCUAAGCACACCUUGUGCUCCUAAUCUAAGUCUGAUUCCCACUGAUGGUACUCCCCUUGCUGAUCCCCAUGUUUAUCGUUCGGAAUCCAAAGCUUAUAGAUUAUUCUUAAGAAAUUAUAUAAAUAGAUUAUGAUUGUAUUGUAUUAUUUUCAGUGCUUUCCAAUAUAAUUUCACACAAUUUUAUUCAGAGUUUUCUCUCUACUUUUUGUUUCACCAUUUUCAUUUUCCUCUUAAGCUUACAUUCUAAUAGAUUGUUGGGUCAUUAAAUAACGAUCAAACUUGAUUUGGCUUAGGUUCGUGUGCUUGACUGAUUGUUCUGUUCAAAUGUGUUUUUAUUCUAAAAAUUUAGUUUCUGGUUAUCAAUCAUAGAUAAACAUCCUUGAAACUGAAAAAGGGAAAUAUCAAAUGCAUACUAUAGGGGAAGUCCAAAAUAUAUCAAAUGGGCCUGUGAUAGUAAGCCGAAAGGCCUAAAGGAAGAGCCCAAGAAAGAAAGCAAGACCAACUCAAGUAGAGCUGGCCCAACCCUGAGGAAUCUUGAAGGCAUACCAAGGAGGAAAAAGAAAAAAGGCAUGAUCACUAAGGACUCUGAAAGGAACCAUCCGAGGUCCAACCCUUCAUUGACAAAUCACCGAGGAUCUCCUUGUCCUCGGCUACGCACUAAAAGCCCUCCCACAUCGCGAAGGCAAACAAGGGACUAAAUGGAUCAAAAAGCGAACAAGUAUGAGUGCUCAAUUUAAUUAUUGCUACUAUGUACGUUAUCUCACAAUCUUUUCGAUAUCUUUUACUUGAUUAAACUUUUCACUCAUGUUUACUAAAUUAAUUGUGGUGGUUAUUUAAAUUAUUCUUCCUUUUUUAUAUAUAUAUAUAUAUAUAUAUAUUUUUUUUUUUGGACACAGACAUUAUGUAGCAACACAUACAUUAUGUGGCUACUUAAGAAUAUGUCCCUUAUCAUUUUCUAUGCUUUAUUCUCUUAAUAUAUUUAUUAUUGAGACCCCAAUUCCAAUAGAAUAGAAGUGAUUUUAUAUGAUAAUACAUAUCUUUGGCGUGAAUAAAAGUGAAAUCAUUUUAUAUGAAACACACCAUACUUUUUGUUGUUUUAUGUAAGUGAAAUUGAGAAUCCUUUUAAGUUGUAAUUAAAUAUAAUUAACUAGGUCCUCUGAAAAAAUAUAUACUUAAUGAGGAUCCUUUCCUAGCGGCUUCGGUUUGCUUUAUGUUUUUGACAUCCAAUAGCUUCACUUGACUUUGCCCAACGUGUUGUAUGCACUGAACUGAACAUCAAUUCCCUAGUGAGCUUCCAGAAACACAAUGCCGAAGGCAAUUGUGCGUAUCUACUAUCUACUCUCUUUUCCAAUAGUGUUUCGCAGAAAAGCCGUAAUUCUGUGUUAAGCAAGAGAAUAGAAAACUGAAAAAGCCUAGAAAACUGAAAAAGAAAAGAAAAAGAAACUAUCAGUGAUCUGUCAUCUUCUAUUUCAUUUCAGCAAAAUAAAAGUAAUAGUAGUAAUAAUAAUAGUAAUAAUAAAGGAAAAGGAAAAAACAAUAUAAAAAAAAAAAUCUCUUCUUGUUCUGCUAACCAAAAUAUUAAAGAGACCAAGCGGCUAAAGGUUAUUCGCCAAGGUUAUUCACCAAUGGCAUUACUGAAGGCCCAUAUUGUAUUGCUUUGUCCAUUAUAACUUAAACUCAUUUCAUAUAUUUUUUAUAUUGUCCCUUAUAUAUCUGAUCCAAUCAGCUAAAAAAGACUUGAAUAUCGGAUAAAAAAUGGCAUAUUACAUAGUAACAUAGGUUUGGUCUAUCAAAUUAUAAUGGACAAAGUAUUUUUUAUUAUUCAUCUUGAAGUGGGAAGGAGGGAUUAAUUUUUUAAUUUUUUUUAGAGGGAAAGAGGUGAGAUUAAUUGAAUUUGGACAUCUCUAUUAAAAAUACCAAAUUAUAUACAAUUUGAUUAUAAGGGUCUUUGAAAUUAUAAUGGGCUAAGCUUGUAGGGCAUUUUGGAGCCGUAAAUGGAUGAGAAGGGCAUUGUUAAAUGUUUUAAUAUUAAUUAAUUUAUUAAAAUAUUCCAACAUAUAGAAACAUGUGAGGAUGUUUCUGUAAGAGCAUCUCCAAUAGGAUCGGUAUCUGCGUAUAUUAGCUAAAGUUUGGAGAAUUUAUGCACUGUUUAGAGCAUCUCCAGCAAUACAUGUAUAAGCAACUUAUUAGCUAUAAUAGAGAAUGGAACCCAAAAAAACAACUCUAACAACUUCUCUGUACCCAAUUUUUUUUUUUGGCUUAUGAAUAGUAGCCCAUCAAGUCUGAUGGGCGACUGUACAUUAGCUAUUAAAUUUGUUGAAUUAAAAUAUUACCAAUAGUUCUAUUAUAUUAAUUCUUUCUCUCUCCUCCUUUGGAUUUUUUUUUUCUCUCCGACAUUCUCUCCGUUGCUUCUUUUUUUUCUCUCCAUUGUUUUUUUUUUUUUUUUUUUUUUAUUUUUUUUUUUUUUUUUGGCUUAUGAACAAUAGCCCAUCAAGUCUGAUGGGCUACUAUACAUUAGCUAUUGAAUUUCUUGUCUUAAAAUAUUACCAAUUACUUAUUAUAUUAAUUCUUUCUCUCUCCUCCUCCGGAUUUCUUUUUUUUUCUCUCAUUCUCUCCGUUGCUUCUUCUUCUUCUUCUUUUCUCUCAUUCUCUCAUUCUCUCCAUUGAAGGGGGUGUUGCGUAUCCAGAAGAGUCAGACUUCGUUUCAAGCAACAAUCUUUGAAAGGAAAGAUACUUGUUGUUGAUUCAAUGUAGGAUAGUCCCUACAAGAUAGGAGUUCACCCAUGUCCACAGUUUUGAUUACAUACAAGUCUAGUUCUGUUCAACUCAUAGCCCCUAAUCCCACUGGUGAUGAUAUUGUCAUUGGGGAUUAGAAAGUUGCUCUGCCUUACAAGGAGUGGUUAGCUGAUCUAGGAGUUAGUGUCUCGAUGCCAAAGUCACUGGUCAAUCAGUAGGCAAAAUCAUCUGGGGAAGGAAGCAAGGUGGAGUGAAUCAUGGUCUCGUUGCUUCUUUUUUUCUCUCCAUCUUGGAUAUCUCUCACAAAAGUUGAAAUCAAACUGGUAUGCCAACUUCAAUCAUUUGAAAUCAUAUUUCUAAUUUGCUAUUUUUUGAGUUUAGAAAAAUGGGUUUCUAGGUAUAUGAUGGGUUUGUGUUCUGUUUGCUAUUGAUUUGGAUUUUAGGGUUUGAAGUGAAUAGGGUGAUUUUUUAUUUCUAGGUUUGGGACUGAGUUCAAAAUGGGUUCAGAUUUAGGUAAAUCUUGAAAUGAAUUUGGAUUUUUGUUUGUUCUAUAAUUUAUUGUUUCCCUAUUUUUGAUUCUUGGUGGAUUCCGUAUAUGAUGGGUUUAUGUUAUGUUUGCUAUUGAUUUGGAUUUUGGGAUUUCAAGGGAAUAGAGUUGAUUGUUUAUUUCCAAUUUUAGGACUGAGUUCAAGAUGGGUUCAGAUUUAGGUUAAUCUUGAAAUGAAUUUGGAUUUAUGUUUGUGUUUAUUCUAUAAUUUAUUGUUCCCUUGUUUUUGAUUCUUGGUGGAUACCCUUGUUUCCCCUGUUUUUGAUUCUUGGUGGAUACCUGACAUUAGUGUGAACAAUGGUCCAAAGUUUCAAUUUACAAGAUACUGACAAUAGGGAAUAAACUUUGAGGAAAUAAUGGUCCAAAGUUUCAAUUAGAGAAAGCUUAACCAUUAAGUACUUGCUGCAAUGAUUGUGUGUUUUUUUUGUGGCAACAACUUGAGAAAUUUGUUCCAUGGGUCAUAAUGCAAAUUAUGCACAUAAUAUGCUUCUAAAUGACUUGGAUUCUGAUGAUAAUUUUGAGAUAAUUGUGCUUCUUGCAUUGGAAGAAGAACGAUUAGAAAGAGAGGGGGCGUUAACAUCACAUCGUGAUUAUGUUCUAGGCCGUAGGAUCAUCCAACGUGAUCAUGGGCAAGGCCACCAAAGACUUUUUCAAGACUAUUUUGCAGAAUCACCAAUAUAUCCUCCUAACGUACUUCAAAGGAGGUUUCGAAUGAGUCGUUCUCUUUUUCUAUGUAUUAAAUCUAAUCUAGAAGAGAAAGAUGAAUAUUUUGUUCAAAAAAGAAAUGCUACCAGAGUGCUUGGUUUGUCUUCCCUUUAGAAGAUAACUGCCACACUAAGGAUGCUUGCCUAUGGAGCAGUGGUGGAUUUUACAAAUGAAUAUGUGAGAAUUGGAGAAAGCACUACAAUAGAGAGUCUCAAAAAAUUUGUUGAAGCCAUAGUCGAUAUUUAUUCUAUAGAAUACUUGAGCUCACCAAAUAGCAAUGACAUUGCUAGGUUGCUAAGAGUUGGUGAAAGUCGUGGAUUUCUAGGGAUGCAGGGAGCAUUGAUUGCAUGCACUGGAAAUGGAAGAAUUGCCCAUCAGGAUGGAAAGGUCAAUAUACUAGUCAUAGUUGCAAGCCAACAAUUAUUUUGGAAGCUGUAGCAUCAUAUGAUCUUUGGAUAUGACAUGCAUUUUUUGGGUUACCUGGGUCUCAUAAUGACAUCAACGUGCUAGACCAUUCUUUUAUAUUUACCAAGCUCGCUCAAGGCCUUGCAUCUUCUGUGAAUUACUCAAUCAAUGGUCGUGUAUAUACGAUGGGAUACUAUCUUGCUGAUUGUAUAUAUCCUUCAUGGUCCACUUUUGUAAAGACAAUCCGAGCUCCACGAGGUAAAAAGAAUAGUCUUUUUGCUACAACUCAAGAGUCAACAAGGAAGGAUGUAGAGCAUGCAUUUGGAGUACUUCAAGCACGAUUUGCAAUUAUUCAUAAGCCUGCACGUCUUUGGAGAAUAGAGGCUCUUGAUUACAUUAUAAAGGCAUGCAUAAUAUUGCAUAGCAUGAUAAUUGAAGAUGAACGUGAUGCCAAUGGAGCAAAAGACUUUGAUUAUGAACAAGUGCCUGAAAGCAUCCCUACAACAGUGUCCGACGAGCCUACAAAAGAAUUUAGUCAAUUUGCAGCGUUCAUUGCAGCCCAUAAAAAAAAAAUUAAAAAUAGAGAAACUCAUUCUAAACUCCAAUUGGAUCUCGUUGACCACUUGUGGCAACGAUAUGGCGAGAUGUAGGAUCAUCUAAUUUUAAGUUUUAUGCUCGCAUUAAUUUUUAUGUCUUUAGUCUUUAUUGUAAUUUGAAAUUUCUCUUCAUUUAUGUUAGUCUUGUAUAGGUAAAAUUCAAUGUAAUUUGAAAUUUAUCAAAUCUAUGUUAAUCUUAAAAUUUAUCAAGUCUUUUUGAAAAGUAUGACUAUUGAGAAAUAUUACCAUUUGAAAAAAUGACCCUUUAAAAAAAGGGUAUUGAAAAAAUAUAAUUGUUGAAAAAUUUGAAAAUGUUACUGUUGGGAAAUUUAAAAAUAUAGCUGUUAGAAAUUUGAAAUAUAGCUGUUGUGAAUGAAUAAAGAAAGAUUAAAGAAGAUUAAAGAAAGAAUAAAGAAUGAAUGAAGAAAUAAUAUUUAAAUGAGAUAGAGAAUGAGAUAGAUAAUCUGUUGGAAAUGUAUUUGAAAAAGUGAGUAGUUAAAAAGUAAAAGUCACUGUUCACUCUCCAAAUAAUACAAAAAUUUAGAAAAUCUACUGGAGAUGCUCUUAUCCGUUGGAAUGGUGAAAAGUUGCUUCACUUCUUGCCGUUUAGUAACUUUAGCUUCAUUCUACAUUCGCUUUCUUAAAUUUGUGAGCAGUAUGGUCCCUAUAUCCAUCCAUUGCUAAAUCCGUCAUUGUGUGUUGUUAUGUCAAACUUUAGUCUAAAAUAAUAAUAAUGAUUUUUUAAAAAAUUAUAUAUUGUUCAACGCCCACUAUUUUCCUAUGCUGCAAUAUUGUUGAACAAUACAUGCCAUGGCAGCACUAUUUCAUAAGUCGGGCCAAGUUCAUCUUAAAGCCCAAUUUUCCAUCUAACAACAAUAGUUUGGCUUAAGCCCAAAAUACUCCAUACAUUUUGGAUUGGGCUAAUGGUCCGAUACUUUACAAAAUGGGCUCCCCAGCUAUAUAUUUUUACAUCAGUAAUAGUCUCAACUCUCAUGGGCUUUAUAAUUUUUCACCUCAUGAAUUCGGCCAUGGCUCAUAUAAUUAUCAAAAUCAUGUGAUGGGCUCAUGGGCCAUAUCUCUCUUGGGUUUGGCUCAAAAGCCCCUUUUUUUUUAUGGGAGUUUAUUUUUUUUUUUGAGAAAGUUUUUUUUUUAUGGGAGUUGAUCUUGCACAAUAGUUAAACUCCAAACUCUCCCUAAAACCUUAGUCUCAAGAGAGGCCCUCCUUAAUUUAUUUAUAUAUCUAUACUAAAUAUAAAAAAGAUUCUUCUUUCCAUCCCAAAAAAAAAAAAAAAAUCUUCUUUUUCAAUUAGACUUUUUUGUGAUUCAAAAAUGCCCUUUGACCCUACGUUAAGUAGAACUUAUGGACAACCUAAUAAAAAUAUAGUUCUAACUCCACUUACAAUGCCUACAAAAUAGGAUACUCUCCUAAUAAUCUAUGUCUUCAAAAAAAAUUUAUUUAAAAUUUUGAUAAAAAUUAUAUAAAAAAAGAAAAAAAACCUUCUCAAUCAACUUUGAAAAAUAGUUUAAACCAAUUAAUCUCUCUAAAUGUGAGCUUGAAGGCUUUUUUUUUUUUUUUUUUGGUUGUGUCAUAAUUUAAAAAUUCAAAUGAAUAGAAAAUUAUGACACUAAACCAAAUAUAUAUAGGACAAAGUUUAGCUACAAAAUCGGUUGUAGCCUUGGGCUACAAACUCACUCAAUAUCUUUUUAUUGGAGGUGAAUUUUGACAAAUCUACCAUUGGAUUACAUCUUUUUUUUUAUAUCUCCCAUGUUUGCAAAAUUUUAAGAAAAUUAAAGACCAAUUGCUAUGUCAUCAAUAAAUUUUUAAAUUGCAAGUUUUUGUAAUUUAAAAUUAUGCAUAAAAUAUAAGUUUAUAGAUUAUAUAGUAUAUAAUAUCCAAUUGACACAAAAUUUAACAUGUGUAUUAAGAGCAUAAAGAACAUGCAAUUUAAUGGUUAGAUUUUCAAAAUAUGCAAUAAUAUUUAUUUUAUUGAGCGAGAUUGUAACUUAAGGCUACAACUAAUUUUGUAACUAAACUUUGUCCAUAUAUAUAUAUAUAUGAGUUUAAAGUUCAGAUCUUCAUGCUACUUUAGUAGUUAUGAAAUAACUUAAUUAAAAUUGGUUUUUAAAGAAUAUUUAAUUUAUUUGAAAGUUUAGUAUAGGAAUAGAAUGGUUAAAAAAAAUUAUUAUUAUUCUUUUUUUUUUCUCCCUCCCUUCUAAGCAUUCUUUUAAAAAAUAAGAUAAGAUAAACAAUCANACAUAUAUUUUAUAAUUAUAAUUAAUUAUAUUUACUUAAUUAAUACAAAUAAAUAAAAUUAGGAAACUUAUAGAGAAUUCAAAAAAAAAAAAAAAAAAGGAAUUAUGAAAAGAAAAGAAACAUCAUAGUAAUAAUAGUCCUUAUAUUUUGUAUUUGUAUAAAUCAGAAAAACCUUAAAUUGAAUCCCUUUUCAUCUACCAAUCCUAUAUAUGUUAAACUUAGCAGACCAGAGAGAAUGGAAUUACUAUGUUUUAACUAGAAUGGAAUUUACCCAAAAGAAGAAAAAAAAAAAAACAAACAAGGAGAUUAUGCAGACGCAGAGGUAUUAACUAAAUAUAGCAUUUCCGGUAACAAUAUAUAUAAUUCAGAGAAAGCAAAAAAAUGAGCGGAAGAAGUUUACCAGAGUGAAGAAUAUAGAGCUUUUGUUAUUUCAGAGAACUGGGGUGAUGGAUCUAACUGAAGAAGGACUUGCUCUACACAAAAAUCUCCAGAAAAGUCUGAGUUUGCAGAGAGAGAGAGAGAGAGAGAGAGAGAGAGAAUGAGAAAGACCAUCAACCAAAAACCUGUUCCAAAGUCAAACGAACUGAAAUGAAAUCUGAUUACAUUUAGAAUCCAAAUAAAAAAUAAAACUCUUUUUCCAGCUUUGGCAACUUAUAUCACAAUCCUAAGAAUCCUAACAACCAUUUCGGCCUCUCUUUCUCUCUCUCUGCUUAGCCUGUUUGACUUUUAUCAUUCUUGCCCAAGAAGAAGAAGAAGAAGAAGAACCCACUUUUUCCCAGGUUCGUUUUUGUUCCCUCAAAUAAAAUAUUUGUUGCAUUCAGGAAUUUCAUUGUUGGGUCUAUUUUUAAUGUGCGCGCGCGCGCGCGCACACACACAUAUAUAUAUUUGUGUUGUUUUGCAUUUUCUUUUGUAUGGUUUUAGAAAUUUUUGAUCUGUUAGAUGUAGCUUCUUGAUUAUACUUUCUAUUUUCAAUAUAAGAGAUCUUCCUCAUUUCAAUAUAUGAAAAUUUAAUUUGUUAGAUGGGUGAUUCUUUUUAUUAUUUACUUUAUAGUUUAUAGGAUAUAAAGAAAAUAAUUUUAGCCGUAAGAACUAUGAAGUGCUUCAUGUAAAACAGCACAUUAACUAACUCCCUUAGAGAAUGUAGCACGAGUGCCCUUUGAGCUACAACAUCAUGGGAAUGUUUAAGAAACUGUUUUGAAUGAUGGUAAUGAUUGGAAUUGUUAGAUAUACUUGAUUUGUUGCAUAUAGUUGUCUUAUAUGAGUUAAAAAAAAAAUUAAAAAUUAAAAAAUUAAAAAAUUAAAAAAAUAAAAUAAAAUAAAAAAGAUGGGUUUGUUCGUUGGUCACUUGAAAUAUGCCACCGAUUUACUCACUCGGCAUUACAUGUUGGAAUGCAAACCUUGUUCCAUUCUUGUGUUCCUUUAGUGUGUGUCUGUCUCAUAUGUCUGUUGUUUCUCCUUUAUCUGAGCAAUCGCAUUGGUAUUACUUCAUUAUAAAUACUUAAGAAGAUUAAUUACUUCAUUCCUUGGAAGUUACUUAGGGAAUUUGCAGUAGGAGGGAGUAAUGCUGCCUGUAGAUUUUGUCCAUCUUGCAAGCAAUCACUAGUAUCUUUAUAAUCAUAGAAUAGGAGUGACUUCUAAUCGGGAUAUUGAUCUUAUGGCUUUUUUAUUUUUCUUGUAACAAUCAUCCACUCAGUCUUGGUAUCAUUGUGUUGGAUUUCUAGUUGUGGCUGCAAGCCUGCUACUGUGUUCUACAUCUGGUUAAUCUGAUGACCAAAAAGAGAUUAAAAAAAAGAAAAAACAUUUAUCAUAUACUAUUAAUGAAUCUUCAAUGUGCAUCUCUUUUAUUUUAAGUUAAAUCAAAUCUUUUCCCCAUUCUUGUAGAUGGGAGAUGAAGCCCCAAAGUACACCGUUGAAGAAGCUAUUGCAGCCAUGGGGUUUGGAAAAUUCCAAAUUCUGGUGCUUGCUUAUGCUGGCAUGGGUUGGAUUUCAGAAGCAAUGGAAAUGAUGCUACUUUCUUUUGUUGGACCAGCACUUCAGUCUGCAUGGGAUCUUUCUUCUAAUGAAGAGAGCUUAAUAACUAGUGUGGUAUUUGCCGGCAUGCUAGUUGGAGCAUAUACAUGGGGCAUAGUAUCAGAUAAGCACGGAAGGAGGUUAUCCCUUUCAUUUUUUUGUUUGUCAUGUACAGUCUCUGCAUUAUUUGAACCGUCUUCAUUUUCUGUAAUCUUCCUACCAUAUUAUUUAUUUCACUGGCAGCUUUAGUCCUAAAUUAAUAUAAUCAGUUCUCAAUACUUCAAAAUGAUUAUGAUAGCAUAUUAAAUCAACAUCUUGUAUGGAUGCUUCCUACCAACUAGAGAUUGAUAUUAGAAGUGUGCAAGUCUUGAUUCAUCAUAAACCUCCACUUAUUGUAAAAACUUCUAAGAUGACGUGAUGCAAAUGUUUUGUGUAGAAGGUGACUCAGAAUGUGGAUUCAGUUUUGAGAGUGUAUUUUCCUCAUAUGUAAUCUGACUUAGCAUCACCCUCAUUCUGAAACUUAAUAUUAGCAUUUAAGAUUUUUGCUUCUGCCACUUAUCAAGUUAGAAACCUUGUGGCUUGAUCACCACAAACCACUGUGGAUUUGAUCCAGAGCCUCCUUAUUUUCCCUCCCCCAUUGUGGGAUGCAUGUAAGCAUUUGUUCCUAUAGGAAGGAAAAAUACAAAAAAAAAAAGAGGGGUGGAGCGGUGGGGGGGAGGGGGGUGGAUGGUGGACAGUGCAGCUGCUACACUCUCUCUUUCUGAACAUGACUUCCAACAUCUUUUUCUUUCCAGAUUUCCACAAUUUUUCACUCGUAUUAGUAACUUCAGUUUAGAUUACUUUUUACAGAAAUUAUAUUUUAUUCAUUACUUUCUUAAACUAGAUAUUUUUAUUUUUUUAAUUGAAUGCAUUUUUUCACCGAAUCUUAAUAAUUUUGCUUGCUAUUUGUUUGCUUUCUUUCUUCUAUUCUCAGGAAAGGAUUCAUUAUCACAGCAACAGUUACUGGUGGAGCUGGUUUUCUGAGUGCUUUAGCCCCUAAUUAUACAUCAUUGAUUAUUCUUCGUUGUUUGGUUGGUCUUGGUUUGGGAGGUGGCCCCGUACUCUCAUCCUGGUUUCUAGAGUUCAUUCCUACUCCUAGUAGAGGCACUUGGAUGGUUAUUUUUUCAGCAUUUUGGACUCUUGGAACUAUUCUUGAGGCUUCUCUUGCAUGGGUAUGAUUACCUUCUCAUUUUGUCUGCUCAUGCAGUUCCUUACUAGAUUUAGGUAUUUUUAAUUUUUCCAUUUUAUUCUCAGUUUUCUAUAUUUGGAUUCAGGUAGUUGGGUAAUCCUAUUUAACCAAAAAGGCAGUUAGGUAAUCCUAGUUUUAUUAAAAUAUUAUGAUUGUAAUUUUUAAGAAAGGACUUCAUAGAAUUUUUAAGGCCUUAUAUAGAGGGAACUUUUUCUCUAGUUUAUAUUGAGAUUUUUUAUGUCCUUGGACAUUUUGUCAACCUUACACAAUGGACCUAGCUAUUUUCUUACAAAGUUUGGCAUUGGUGUAUGUAGCCUAUAACACUAUGGUAAUUGUUCAUCAUUGUCAUCAUAACUUGGGAAAUCCUGACGUGGUGAGAAGUGUUGUGGUCAUAAUAACCUAGCAAUUCAUCCUGUGUUUUGUGGAUUCUUUCAUUAAAUCAGAUGAAAGGAUUUCCCUAGUUUAGAUUGCUAAUAAAAAGAAAUUCAUUGGUCAGCUACCUUCAUCUUUAUGCUGUGUUAUUUGUAGGUUGUCAUGCCAAGGUUGGGUUGGAGGUGGCUACUUGCAUUGUCGUCUCUCCCAUCAUCACUCCUCCUCAUUUUCUAUAGAGUGACACCCGAGUCACCUCGGUAUUUAUGCCUAAAGGGUAGAACAACUGAAGCAAUUGAUGUUUUGGAGAAAAUAGCCAGAAUGAAUGGAACAGAACUCCCUUGUGGCACUCUUGUUUCUGAUCACCAAAUUGAGUUACAAGAAAAGAGUAAUGAUCCAUCAGAAGAUGCAAAUUUGCUCUCACCAAGAACUGAAAAUGCAACCCAUAAGGGGAUAGAUUCUAAUAUAGGGGGCAUCUCAUCACUUUUUGUGCUUCUUUCACCAAAAUUAGUUAGGUCUACCUUGCUUUUGUGGGUAGUAUUCUUUGGGAACGCUUUUUCAUAUUAUGGCCUUGUGUUGCUGACUUCUGAGUUGAACAAUGGGAAUAGUAAAUGCAUGCCGACUAAAGUGCAGUCACAAGAGUCCCAGGAUGUGAACUACAGAAAUGUAUUCAUUGCAAGUUUUGCAGGUAACCUGGUGUACUUAUCUCAAUACUAUAUAUAUAUAUAUAUAUAUUUGUAUAAAUGCAUGUAUAUAUUUAAUACUGCUGGAAGGUAGCCAAGUGACAUUUAACUAUAAUUUUCCUGAAGAGUUUCCGGGGCUCCUCAUAGCAGCCGCAACUGUAGAUAGACUUGGUCGUAAGCUUUCAAUGUCAGCUAUGUUCUUCCUGUGUUGCUUUUGUCUACUUCCAUUGGUAUUCCAUCAGCCUGAGGGUUUAACAACAGGCCUUCUUUUUGGAGCUCGCAUAUGCAUCACAGCAACAUUCACAAUUGUAUACAUAUAUGCUCCUGAGGUAAAUCAUUGAAUUAGUUUAUCAUUUUAAGAGGCAAUAAGUAUCAUAAUGUCUAGUUCAGUGCUUGAGAGAGAGAGAGAGAGACCACCUUCAGAAUUUAAAGCCAAAAUCGGGUUACAGUCAACAAGCCCACUUUAAUUGUUAAAAAAUGUUGAUUGAUAUCUGGACAAACCAAAUAUUAGUGGACACAGGUAGCCCUUACAGCACUUUUUCUUGUGGAUCUCAUUAAGUUACCUUUUUUCAUCUACUUUUGUUUGUGGAAUUCUGAUGAUUGCAUCUGAACUCUUUAUUUGGAUCCAAUAUCAUCCAGAUGCUUUAAGGUCUUCACAACUUUAACUUUUAUUUUGUCUUAACUCAUUGUUUUAACCUAUGGAAGAGACAUUCAUAUGGAAUUUGAGUCAUGGGCAGUUGAAAAAUAUGUUAGAUUCUUUGUAUCUUUACUCUUGUUUGUUAGUGUUAGUUUGCAUGCUUAUCCAUGAAAGUGUCCCAAUUGGUGGCAAGAUAAUAAUCUUUAUAUGAUUUCACUGCAAUGUAGAUAUACCCAACCUCAGUUCGAACAACAGGCGUUGGAAUUGCAAGCUCAGUUGGAAGAAUUGGUGGAAUGUUAUGUCCUCUUGUGGCAGUUGGUUUAGUACAUGGUUGUCAUCAAACAGCAUCCAUUUUUCUUUUUGAGAUUGUAAUAUUCUUUUCAGGUAUUUGUGUAGUGCUAUUCCCUUUUGAAACCAAGGGCCGGAAAUUGAGCGAUACUGUAUCUAGUCCAAAACAUACUGUUGAAUCAGCAUGAAUUAAGAAUUAACCACAGUAAAUUCUGCUCACCCCCUGUUAUACAAUGAUUGUUCAAAUAAGAUCAUAGAAUAACAGAAUUUAACUUCAGCCUUCUGUUGUUUACUGAAUGCUUAUGAUCUAAAAAAAUUUUCAGCUUCAUUAGUCGCAUUUAUGCAUCUGUUUUUGCUCAAAACACAUGAACUAAAAGAAGACUUUGCAUGUGUCUGCUCACUCAAUCACGUCACAUGCGCACUAGACAUGAUCACCAUGAAUAUUGUUGUUGAUUUUCUUAGGAAUUAAUGUAUGUUAUAAAAUAUCAAUUUCUUUUUUUCUUUUUAAUAGUAUGGGGGGAUUUGAACUUGAUUCUCUUAAAUACAGGCAAGCAAUGUCACUUAAUUACAAGGCUCUUGGCUAUAAGAGCUCGAGUAUGUUUAUUGGUAAGCUCGAGUAUGUUUUUUGGUAGAUACGGAUUUAUGGUAGAAGGCGCCAGUAUUUUUGCACUUUUAGGGCUGUAACAAAGACCUUAGAGAAUCCAUCCUUCAUUAAGCUAAUGUAUUGAGAUACUCUCUAACUGUUGCAUAGUAUGUCCAUUGAAAACAAACCCCACCCUACCCCCCAACUCCAAAAGUAAAAAUAAAAAAUAGAAAAGCAAGAUACAGAUAUUGAUUUCAUUUACCAUUUGUGGGUACAUAAUUUUCGUUCUGUUGGAGUCGAUGGCUAGACAAUUAUGCAACAUUUACAUUGCGCAUAUGAUAAUUGAUUAGUUAUGCAUACUCAUUUUUCUGCAUAGUUGAUGGUACAAACUAGCAACCAUUAACAUUUUACAUCUACCUGUCACAUACCAAUUAUUGGUAGAGAGGCCAACAUUUUGCUUCCUCACUUGUAGUAGAGGGUACUCAAUUGUCAAAAUCAAAACGUUAAGCAUAUUCUUUUCCAUCAAGGAUUAAUUGUUAUUUUUACACCAUGUUUUCUAUUUUAAGUCCUUGCUUAAAAUCACAGAUGGCAAUCCAAUAACUCCAAAAGGAGCACACCAAUCUUCUUGACUCAUAAGUCAGAGACCUACUCCGGCCAUAAUUCAGAUUGACCGUCUCUGGCUUAAAAUAUUCUUGUUGCUAAAGAGUCUAGGGAAAUUCUUGCAUCGAAAAAAUUUAGAUUGCUUUUGGGUUUGAACGUUCAAAAUCAAGGGAGUGAAGGUAAAUUGCUUGAUAUGAAUUUUAAAAAUAUAUGAUGGAUUUGAUAUUAUAAUAUUUUACUCCAACAAAAACACUUGUGAUGUUAUUUAAUUUAAAAUAACAUCAUAUAACUAAUCAUUCCUUGCAUUAAUAAAACUUAAAUACAUUCAUGAAUUCCAUCAAAUAGGAAAAAAAAAAGGGUAAAUUAUAUUUUGUAGUACUUGAAUUUUGGGAUUAGCUCGAUUUUAGUCCGUCAAAUUUAAAAAAUUCGGUUUUGGUCCCUUAAAUUUUAAAAAUGUAAAGGUCUUUUGGUACCAAAAAUUGAUAGUAUAUGUAAGGAGGUACAUGGGUCCUUGAUGCACUAAUGCUGCAAUGAUUUGGAUGUUAUGGGCUAGAGUUUGUUUUGUGUGUAAGCACUAGGCUGGGUUCAAUUUGGUUGUCAUUGCAUUUGCUUUCCUUUCUAUUGAUGGUGUCAAAAACUUGGCCAAUGAUGCUUUGCUUUAAGAAAACUUGCUGCAUGUGGGAUGUAAAAGACAUUUUUUUUUGCACAUACUCGUUGGCUUUAAUCUAGCUUUUGGAAUUCAGAGAAGACACUAGAUAUGAAAUUGCUCCUCUUUUGUAUGAUAUUUUUACUAUGCUACAUAGUUUUUAACUUUGUAGAAUUAACUUUUUUUUUUAGAAGUGUUACAUCUAAAAUAUUUUCACAACAAAUUAUAGGUGAUUCAUUGUUACUAGUUCAAAUUUAAACCUACUACUAAGAUUUUUUUUUUCCCCAACAAUAACAACCCGUAACAAUUUUUCAUUUAAAAUUUGUUGUAAAAAUGUUUUGGACAACAGACAUAACAUCUCUCUCUCUCUUCUUUUUUUCUUUUUUUCUUUUUUUCACUUACACAAUUGAAGCCUAUGUUAGUGAAGAAACACUAAAAAUUCAUAGAACCUCCUCUACUGGUACCAACUCUAUAAAAAUUUUAUAUUAUCCCUUAGACGCUUACCUAUGCAAUCCAGAAAACAUUUAAAUAUUAUCGGUACCACUUUUAAGGGUUCUAAUUUGUUGACACUUUGAGUGUGUUUGACACAAAUUAUUUUUGCCAACUUAGUUUAUUAUUCAAUUUUUUUUUGAUACUAUUCAUAGGUCUCACUGCACUUUUUGAUAUUAUUCAUGAGUUUCAUUAUUCUAUUUCAACUAACUUUUACUUUUAUCAACAAUACUUUCAGUAAAAAGUUUUCAGUUUCAACAAAAUCAGCAAAUCUCAAAUGGACCUUACCUAUCUUUACUUGUCCACCUUUUAUUGAGUUGGUUAGAAAUAAAUAAAUAAAUAUAUAUAUAUAUAUAAAGUUUCAUGCGGUUUUCCUUAAAGAGCAUGAAACUCUCUUAGAGCACUCACAGCAGUGAUACUAUAUUGCUAUAUUUUAGCUCCUCAAACCCUAAAAUCAGCACCCAGCAGUGGAGCUAAAUCUUCUUCUUUUUUUAGCUUCAUUGCUACAGUGCACAUUUAUCUAUAGAUAAAUGUGCACUAUUUAUGAGAGCUAAAAAAAGUAUUAUUUUAUUUAAAUUUCUCUCUCCUUUUCCAUUAAAAAAAAAUUUCUCUUUAUUUCUUUUUCUCUCUCUUUCUCUAGCUUCUCUUCUUUCUUCCUCUUUCCUUCUCAUUUUUUUUCUCUCCCUCAUCUACUCUUUGCUUCGCCAAUCUAUUCUGGAUCUUCAUAAUCGCCAAUCUUCAUCGUCAAUCUUCAUCGUCAUCACCCACGUUGCCAUCCCAUGUCCCCGUCCCACCCCGUCGACCCAUCUCGCCCAUGUUGCUGUGCCUCUCUCUCUCUCUCUCUCUCUCUCUUCAUUUGAAAGCUCUCAUCUCAUCUCUCAAAACUCUCUAAAGCAAACGGUGAGAUCGAUGUCAAAACUCUCUCAAGCAAACGGUGAGAUCAGUUUGCAUUGGUAUCGGGGUUGAGAUCGGUGUGUGGUUUCGACGUUUGGGUAGCUGGAUUUCAAGGGUCACGAUGGAGAUGGUGGUGGUGGUGGGUCGUUUUGCUGGCGGUGGAUCGUAUCGGCGUGGGUUCGAUUUGUGAUUUGUGGCUGUGGGUUUGUUUUGUGGUGGCUAUAGGUUUGUUGGUGAUGCUAUGUUGGUGGUGGUUGUGUUGCGUUUUUGUUUUUUUUUUUGUUUUUUUUUUUUUUUUUUUGGUUUUUUUUUUUUUUUUUUUGGUUUUUGUGAUUGGUGAUUUUGUUUGGUCUGGGUUGAGGGAAAAAAUUGGAGAUUUGGGUUAGUGGAUUUUUUUUUCCUACUAUGGAAUGGUGGUGGUGGUGGUUGUGGCUAUGACUGAUGGUAGAUGUGGUUGUAGUUGGUGCUGUAGAUGUUUUUUGGGUAGUGAUAUAUAUUAUUUUAUUGUAGUGGUUAUAUUAUUUUAUUGUGAUGUUUAUAUUAUUUUAUUGCGUUGAAAGCUAAAAUAGAUCCACAGCAUGUGUGUAAGUAAAAUAGAUAAAGUAACUUUUGGUGGAGCUAAAUAGCUAAAUUUUUAGCUCCACUUCUGUGGAUGUUCUAAAGUUUUGACUGUAAAACUUAUACUGUUAUUUGUAAGGUACAAACCAUUGUAAAUACUUAUAUAUAUAUAUAUAUAUAUAUAUAUACAUUUUAAGUAAAAGAGGAAGGAUUUGAAACUUAAAUGUCUCUAUUAGAAAAAUUAUACUACACCAUUGAGUUACAAGGUUCUUAGUUAUGAACACUCAACGUCUUUAAAGGUUUUGAGCAUAAUGUAAAUAUAGCAUAAAACCCCUCAAUGGUACUUUUUUAUAUAUAUAAACAACUUAUUGUUUAUUUUCAUGGAUGUUUAAAGAUUUAUACAUAAAUAAUACCUUAAGAUCUACACACUUUUUUUUUUUUUGCUGAACUUAAGAUCCACACACUUACACUCAAAACUUAAAGGAAUUUCACAGGAGAACCACUUAAGGAUGGCAGAAACGAUCCAUCCCGCAUGACCCCACCUAUACCACUCCACCUCCUAUGGAUUUUCCUCACUCUAAAGAGCUGAUGAAGUGCAGAGGGAUUUUCCUCACUCUACCUUGAAUGUAUAUAUACAUAUUUUAUUUAAUAUACAUAUUUAACAUAUUAAUAUAUAUAUAUAUAUAUAUAUAUAUUCUAUUUCUAUCUUCAAAACACUUGAUUUUGCUUCUCUCUUAGAAAUUUCAUGGUCAUUAUUUCUCUUUAUUUUCCAUUUAUCGAGUGUUAAAGUCAUUUCAUUAGGGUUAGUAAAAUAUCUCAAAUUUGUCUUGAACUCGACCAAUCCUUUUACCACCUUAACAAAAGUUUUUCCCACUUCGGAAAAGAGACAACGAAGACGAGGCAUCCUUCCUCUGACCCCUAAUAGUGUUUUUAUAUAUUUUUCCCUUAUCAUUAAUAUUUUCUUUUUCUUUACUUUUAGUUGUGACAUUGGAACCUUUAAAGUGGUUCCAGAGUUCCUACUGAACCCCACAACCCAUUACCUUAUCACCACACGUGCAGUGCAGUAGGUACAAGCAAACACCAAAUUUAGUUGCUGAGGUCAAAUCCCUAAAAACUGAAGAAAGAUUUCUUGCUCAAUUUUGGUAAAAAAAACGUGCACAUCAAAAUUUAUAUUGAAAAACCAAAAAGAAAGUAAAAUAAAAAAAGAGAAAUGUUAAAAUUAAGAAAAGUAACGUAAUAAAUAAACCAAUAAACGCAUCUAAUCUCUAAUAAUAUUAAGUGAUUAAAGUUAGAGGCAUUCUUUACUUUUAUAAAGAGUUAUUCCAACAUUAAUAGAAAAAAGUUGAGCGCGAUAUUAUAUUUCCCUUACUCAUUAUAUGAUUCCUAAAAAAAAGAAAAAAAACUCAUUAUAUGAAGGUUAAAAAUACCAUAUAAUUUAUUUAAAUAAUACAUAUAAAUAGUUUUAUAAAUCAUCAUAUAACAGAUUAAAAAAGAUUGCUUCAAAUAAAUUUAGAGAUAAUUUUUUUUUGAAAACAAGAUAAUAUUUAUUUAUACUAAUAUAUAAGCUUUUGAACCAAUAAUAACAUAUGAUAUGAGUUUUAUAUUGAAUUAUACUAGUAAAAUUUAACUAUUUUUGAAGUAACUUUUAUAAAAUAAAAUAAAAAUUAGAAUAAAUUUCCAAUUUAUAUGAGAGAAAAAAAUAUCAUAUUUAUAAUACUGAUAAAACUUUUAUUAGUUUAUUAUUGACCAUUACACAUUUCCAAGUAGUUGAAUUUAAUUAAAAAUUUAUGAUAAUAACUACCAUUAAGUUUUAUCCCUUAUAAGUUGCGUCAUCUUUAAAUAAAUUAUAUUUAGCCUGUUCUCUAAUUUAGCUUUUAUCAACAUUUAUUAAUGAAAAAACAAAAAACAAAAAACAUUUAUUAAUAUACAAAUAUUUAUUUUCACAAUAUUUUCAUAUAUAAAAAAUAAAAAAUAGAAAAUUACUCAAACAUUCUGAACAAGCCUUGGAAAAGGUUCAGCCUGACUGCCAGAGUCUCUUUCUACAUUUACUGCACCACUUUUUUUACCACCUUUUGAUAAUUGAUUUUGUUUUAUAUUAAUAUUUACAAUUUUUCCAAUAUAAAAAUUAUAUAUUAUUAUUAUUAUUUUUAAAAGACUUACUAGAUUCAACUAUAAAUCAGAAAGCAUGAAAGUUCAUCUGGGUUCUGCAGAAUAUAUAUAAAUAUAGGAUACACUGUACGUAUAAGUCAUCAUUAUGUGCUUUAGAUUGACGUUUACAAUUGAGAUAGUUUAGAUAGAUACUACUAUCUGUCUGUCUCUUUGUGUGUCUCUUUUUCUUGCUUUUUGCUUAGGUUCUCUGAAGAUCUUUGCCUCUGCUUUCAUUCAUGGCGGCAAGUCCAGAUCGUACAGCUGGUACCUCUUCCAAUUCCUCUCUCUCGCUCUUGUUCUUAUUUAGUUUAUCAAGUUUUGAUCUUGAUGUUGUUUGUACUUUGUAACGUUUUUUUUUUUUUUUUUUUUUUUUUUUUUUUAAUUUUAUUGGUCUUGUUGGGUGUUUUGGUAGAUGGGUUUUUGUUAUUUUGUUGUAAUCUUAUGGUAUGAGUCUUGUGGGAAGUCAAAUGAAUAUGGGUUUUUGUUAUUUUGUUGUUUGGAAUUGGAUUGUUCAUUGAAUUUUGUGUGUGUGUGUGUGUGUGGUGGGUUUGAUGGGAUCAUUUGACACUUUUGGGGUUUGUCUGUAAAGUUUGUUUUUUGAUCUGUUUUGUUGGGAGGGUAAGGCGUAAUCUAUUUUGAGAUCUAGGAUCUGGGUAUUGGAAGGUGACAGGAAUUGUUGCAAGUUUUGGGUGAUUUUUGAUCAUCUAUGAACUUCUUCUAAUACUUUUAUUCUCUUUUCAAUUUAUUUGAAUUUUUUUGUAGAUCACUUUGGUCAAAUAAUUGGUAUUUGUGGUAGGUAAAUAUUAGUCCUGUAGUGUGGAUGUGUUAUUUUGAUACUGUCAAUAUUGAGAUAUAGUGCUAUGAUAGUUCACAGUUUAUAGAAACUAUUUCAAGUGGCAAUAGAUAUUGGUUUUCAAUAUAGUAGGAGCCAGAAAUGGUGCUCCAAUAAAUUGGUAUAUUAGGUACACACUUGAGAGUUAUUUACACAAAGUAUUGUCAAUGUGAAGUUGCAUUAGAUGUCAAACUGUGUAAAUUGGAAUGGGAAAAUAAUUCUAUGUGAGGUCAAAACAAGAGAGAAUAACCCUCUUUGGAGCAUUAGCCUGUUGCUAAUUCUACAGCUUGCCUUCACUAUGAUGAUUUAUUUGAGAGGGGGAAGGGGAUAUCUGUUGUUCGUUAAAAAUUAGUAUGAUAUGGAUGAAGUGGGGAACUGCAAGAGGAGUUUUUUGUGAAGGUUUGGUAUUUCAACAAGUUGAGGAGAAAGUUUGUUACAUUUUCUAUGGUAUGUUAGUUUGCUUUGGUCAUUAUGGUUGGUUGAGAUUUUUGUAUUUAAGAGAGUUUAUGGGUAUCACAAAUUGUGGACAUGGUGAGAGAAUGCAUAGCAUAGUCCAGACUCCAGAGGAUCUAUUAAAUUGAAACUGCUAAAAUGACAGUUGGAAAUUCCAUAAGUAUGUGGCUCAUGAGGUUGGUUAAAUGACCUAUAAACACAUGGUUGAGCAUGAGACUAUGAGUAUAUGUAGGUAGAUCUGGUGUAGUGUUUUCCCUCAUCAUUCAGCCGCAUUGUCAUCCCUUUCUGCUAGGUUAAUAUAUUAGAAAUAAAAUUCCACCUCUUUUUGUACUUUAUAGGGGAUCUGUUCCCUCAUCUUUAAUCUUGUCAUUCUUCAUUAUGAGUUAGUAGUGAGACUUUUGAUGUAUACUGACAACUUUUUAACUUUAAAAAUAUUCAUUUCUUCAUUUAUCAUGUGUGCAUAGGUGUGCACGCGUGGAUUUGUGCGCACAUAUUUAUAGCUUCAAGUUGUCCUAUGCCCGAAUUUAG
rnacentral:sRNA from 1 species